rnacentral:rRNA from 1 species
UCAAGCGAACAAGUGCAUGUGGUGGAUGCCUUGGCGAUCACAGGCGAUGAAGGACGCGGUAGCCUGCGAAAAGCUACGGGGAGCUGGCAAACGAGCUUUGAUCCGUAGAUGUCCGAAUGGGGAAACCCACUCCUUUUGGAGUAUCCAUGGCUGAAUACAUAGGCCAUGCGAAGCGAACGCGGUGAACUGAAACAUCUAAGUAACCGCAGGAAAAGAAAUCAACCGAGAUUCCCAAAGUAGUGGCGAGCGAAAUGGGAUGAGCCUUGCACUCUUUAUUUGUAUUGUUAGCCGAACGCUCUGGAAAGUGCGGCCAUAGCAGGUGAUAGCCCUGUAGGCGAAAACAGUAUGAAAGAACUAGGUGUGCGACAAGUAGGGCGGGACACGUGAAAUCCUGUCUGAAGAUGGGGGGACCAUCCUCCAAGGCUAAAUACUCGUGAUCGACCGAUAGUGAACCAGUACCGUGAGGGAAAGGCGAAAAGAACCCCGGGAGGGGAGUGAAAUAGAUCCUGAAACCGCAUGCAUACAAACAGUCGGAGCCUCGUAAGGGGUGACGGCGUACCUUUUGUAUAAUGGGUCAGCGACUUACGUUCAGUAGCAAGCUUAACCGUAUAGGGCAGGCGUAGCGAAAGCGAGUCCGAAUAGGGCGUUCAGUUGCUGGGCGUAGACCCGAAACCAAGUGAUCUAUCCAUGGCCAGGAUGAAGGUGCGGUAACACGUACUGGAGGUCCGAACCCACUAACGUUGAAAAGUUAGGGGAUGAGCUGUGGAUAGGGGUGAAAGGCUAAACAAACUUGGAAAUAGCUGGUUCUCUCCGAAAACUAUUUAGGUAGUGCCUCGUGUCUCACCUUCGGGGGUAGAGCACUGUCAUGGUUGGGGGGUCUAUUGCAGAUUACCCCGCCAUAGCAAACUCCGAAUACCGAAGAGUGCAAUCACGGGAGACAGACAUCGGGUGCUAACGUCCGGUGUCAAGAGGGAAACAACCCAGACCGCCAGCUAAGGUCCCCAAAUAUAGCUAAGUGGGAAACGAAGUGGGAAGGCUAAAACAGUCAGGAGGUUGGCUUAGAAGCAGCCACCCUUUAAAGAAAGCGUAAUAGCUCACUGAUCGAGUCGUCCUGCGCGGAAGAUGUAACGGGGCUAAGCUAUAUACCGAAGCUGCGGAUGC